UCUCCGUUGGCGAACCAGCGGAGGGAUCAUUACAGAGUUUUCACAACUCCCAACCCUUGCGAACCGUACCCAUUCUGUUCUCGUUGCUUCCGGCGGGGGGGACGGGGGGGCCCGAAACGGCCUCCCCGCCCCGCCCGCCGGGGGCGGCGGGCCCUACGAACCUUUAUAUCUCAUCCACCAGAAACCGUCUGAGAAAACAAACAAAAUAAUCAAAACUUUCAACAACGGAUCUCUUGGCUCUG
rnacentral:misc_RNA from 1 species